GCUCUCUUUCUCUCUCUCUCUCUCUCUCUCUCUAUGUAUGUUUCUUUCUCUGCUGCGUAUUUAUGUGUAAAAGCUCAGUUAAGUUAGUUAAUGUGGGCGUCUUUGGAUUUGUUUAAAUUUAUUAAAAGGAAUUAUCUGACUGCAAUGGCUGGAGGAGCGAAUGCGACGAUCCACCAGUUGUUAAGGAGGAACCUACAAUCUCAAUCUAACUCUUAAGAAUUUUGGCUACUUUCUGUUUCUGCAAAUGGGCUUAUCUUAUCUAGUCCUAAAUUGCCUCUACAUUUCUGUCGCCAACCCAUUAUCUCUAAGAGAGGUGAUGCUACAUCUUGCAGCAUGAAAUCCCAGAGAGCUUUUGUACUCAUUUGAGCAGGGCUUCCAAGGUUCUUGAGUUCUGCAACAGCAGCAUCUGCAGAUGAGGCUGAGCAUGGAUUGGAGUGUCCUAUCUAUCCCUGGCCUCACAAGGGCAUCCUAAGUUCAUACGGUCAUGCUUCAUGAGUUCCUAUUUAACCUAUGAGUUUGUGACUGUCUAUGUGUGUAUAAUUAUUUUUCAUGUCAUAAAUUGUUGUUCAAUGUGCAAACUGGGUUAAUUUUAUUCAAAGUCUUUAAUCCAUUAGUUUAGUAUGUCGUUCCUCUUGACUUUGGCUCACAUAUGCUUCAUAAUUUUUCUGUAUUUUAUCCGAGACAUUUGACUUAAAAGCCUUUAAGCAUAUUGUUUAUUAUUAUCUCACAUUGUUUACAGGAUAUGCAAGAUCAUAGUGGCUAACUAGGCAGUUAUAGUUGUAUGCUUGUACAAGUGAAAAUAUUUAAAAUUUCCUUUUAAGUCUUUUAAUGUAUGGAAAAUAUCAUUUUACGGGAAUGCCUUAAUAUAAUUUUAUCUUUUUAACUAAAGUGCAAUUGCAUGUUACCGUUGUUAGUGAUGCUGUAAGGACAAUUAUGCUUGAGUAGGAUUCGUCAUGUUCAUCAGGUUUACACACAAGUCUUGGCCUCUUGCCAUUCCAUGUCUUUACUAUCAUACCAUGAUUUGGUGGGACAAAGGCUAUGGCUGCUGAGAUUGAGGUGGUUGAUGGACCUAAUGAUGAGGGGGAGAUGUUCACUUGCCCUGGUAAACUCAGCUGCCGAUUUCAUCAGCCAUAUCCAAAUAAGCAAGCAGUUAGGUUUGCUAAUGGAGGGGCCUAUCCUCCAGAUCUAAGUCUUAAUUACCAAACAUGUUGAAUAAUUGCACUAUAAUCCUUAUUUCCCUGGGGGGACCAUGCCAAAAAUGGUCAAUGAUGGUACCUUUUGAGUAUGAAGAUGGUACUCCUGCAACAGAGGCUCAGAUGGGAAAAGAUGUUCGUUUUUGUCGUGGGCUGCUGAACCAGAAUUGAGAACGGAUACUGGUGGGAUUCAAAUGGAUAUUUGUUCUCUCAUUGGCACUCCUUCAAGCUUGCUUAUUACCCGUGCUUGACGUGGUUCACAUCCGUAAUUGGCGAUGAAGUGACCUGGUGAGUGUUACUUUUGAGAGAUAGAUGUAAGCUACUCAAAGCACAUGACGCAAUAUUCUUUUCCCUUGAACAUGUGAAUUUUGUCUAAAUUUCCCUUCAACCGCCAAAUCUUCUGGUUGGAUGAUAGUCUUCAAUGUUUAGUUAGAUUAACGUUGUUUCUUGUUUGAUGAUGGAUAUCAAUGGGAGAGACUUGUGUAUAUUUUUUUUCCCCUCUUUUUUGGAUGAAUGCAAGAGGCUAGUUACUAAAGGUAAAUGUAUCUUCUUCUUUUCUCCUUUUUUUUAAAAUUAUUUAUUUAUUAUUUUUUUCCUCUUGUAUUAUUAUUUUGUAAAAUGAAAUCACUCUCUUUCCAAA